GAUGAAGAACGCAGCGAAAUGCGAUAAGUAAUGUGAAUUGCAGAAUUCAGUGAAUCAUCGAAUCUUUGAACGCACAUUGCGCCCCUUGGUAUUCCGGGGGGCAUGCCUGUUCGAGCGUCAUUUCAACCCUCAAGCUUCUGCUUGGUCUUGGGCCGUGCCGGCAACGACUGGCCUUAAAACUAGUGGCGGUGCCAUCGAGCUCUACGCGUAGUAAUUCUAUCUCGCGUCUGGGCUUCGGUGGACGCUGGCCAGCAACCCCCAAUUUUCUAUGGUUGACCUCGGAUCAGGUAGGGAUACCCGCUGAACUUAAGCAUAUCAAUAAGCGGAGGA
rnacentral:misc_RNA from 1 species